ACAGCAGCAGCCGCGGUAAUACGAAGGGUGCAAGCGUUAAUCGGAAUUACUGGGCGUAAAGCGUGCGCAGGCGGUUUGUUAAGACAGAUGUGAAAUCCCCGGGCUCAACCUGGGAACUGCAUUUGUGACUGGCAAGCUAGAGUGUGGCAGAGGGGGGUGGAAUUCCGCGUGUAGCAGUGAAAUGCGUAGAGAUGCGGAGGAACACCGAUGGCGAAGGCAGCCCCCUGGGCCAACACUGACGCUCAUGCACGAAAGCGUGGGGAGCAAACAGGAUUAGAUACCCGCGUAGUCCCUGUCUCUUAUAC
rnacentral:rRNA from 1 species